CGAGUUUGAUCAUGGCUCAGGAUGAACGCUAGCGGCAGGCUUAAUACAUGCAAGUCAAGGGGGUAGCAAUACUACCGGCGCACGGGUGAGUAACACGUACAUAACAUACCAUAUACUGGGGUAUAGCUUUGGGAAACUGAAGGUAAUCCCCCAUAACAUUGCGAGAGGGCAUCUGAUUGCAAUUAAAGUUUCGACGGUAUAUGAUUGAUGUGCGUUUGAUUAGCUUGUUGGUAGGGUAACGGCCUACCAAGGCGACGAUCAAUAGCUGGCGUGAGAGCGCGACCAGCCACACUGGAACUGAGACACGGUCCAGACUCCUACGGGAGGCAGCAGUAGGGAAUAUUGGACAAUGGGCGAAAGCCUGAUCCAGCCAUGCCGCGCGAUAGAUGAAGGCCCUCUGGGUUGUAAAUAUCUUUUAUCUGGGAAGAAACAAUCUUAUUCUUAAGAUCUUGACGGUACCAGAGGAAUAAGCACCGGCUAACUCCGUG
rnacentral:rRNA from 1 species